GAAACUGCACAACCCUCUUAAAAUUUCUGUUUUAAAAUUCACAAUUCACAAAAAGUGUAUCGGUGACUGAAAACUUCUAAUCUUUUAUAACUUCCCACACAUUUGGAUGAGGUCAUAUUAACUGCUGCAAAUGAUCGGUGAAAAUUAGCAUCUGGAUUUCAUUUUUUUUUGUCAUCAAAGUUUCUAUCUUUUCACAUAAAAUUCUAGAUGUCAUGGGAUCCAAAUGCUUCAUCUAUCAUCAAUAUCUAGAUUUUUCAGUUUCCUUUUUUAUGUGAACACUUCAUAAGAUGAGGUCUCGACAAAAAUCAUUUAGCAGUUUUCUAUGAUUGUCCCAAAUUAUAAUUAGAUCAAAAAGUGAGGAUGAAAACCUUGAAUGUGGUAAAUGAACAGUUGGGAUUAUGAGACACAAAGGUGUACUCACGGAAAGUUGGAAGGGACUAGCAGCAACAGGAGCGCGUGGAGUGACCUUAGACACCAUCAAAUAGUAGAUAACCAUGAUUGAUGUUUAUCAAGAAAAGGAUUUGCAAUUUAGAGCAAACAAGAGUUCUUUGGCUCAAUUCCUUAAAGGUGCAAAAUUUUGGUGAAGGGCAGUGUUGAAAGGAUUUCUCCAUCAUUCCUAUCCUGCCAUCAAAGCAUAAACAAUAAAUAGAUGUCGGAGUUGAUUGGUGUUCAAUAUGAAUUUUAAAGAAAAUGUAUAUAUAAUUCUUUUGCGGUUCAAUUUCUUUCAUGUUAUUACGAUGUUGUUUUAGUAUAAUUUCUUGAGGUUUUGUCAA